CUUUGCUGUGAGAACGUCAGGAUCUGGCUGCAGCACAGGGUCAGUGAGCGUGCAAAGACUUGGCAGAGGAAAACACGUGUGUUCGUGGAGACCUUUCAAUUAGGAACUGGGCGAGAAGGCAGAGGAAGAGAUGGGGAGGGUUCCCUGUAGCCCUGAGAGAUGAAGUGGCUUGACCAAGGACACAUUGGUAGUUCUUUUUUCUGUGCACCCGUCAGGUAGACCUGCUUUCUCGAGGAGCCGAUUUGAGGGGGUGAGGAGAACUACUCUUCAUUAGAUGAGAGGAGAGAAGCCAGAUAUUUGCAGCUGGAGUUGGCUAUGUGACUCCUGCCACCUGCUGCUGCUAAUUUGUUCCUGGGUCGACCAUCUGACCUUCUGCCCACGAAAUGAGACAGUGAAACACUCCUUCUGCCAACAGAGCUACAUGAAAACACAAAUUUUCACUUCAUCAAGUGAUCACCAUGCUUCAGUUUCUGACUCCGCCCAUGCUCCACCACCAGGCUCAGGUGUGCUCCUGGAAGUAUCACUCAUUCUUCCUCCCCAGGUUGGGCUAGGUUUAGGUUAUGGGUGCAAUUCCUUUGUGUGUCGGUCACGGACUAUUUCGAGGCUGCAGAAUGAUCCAGCAAUUGCACUUACGGUCAUAUAUCCUAAGGAAAUGAAGUCACCAUCUUGGACACAUACCUGCACUUUCAUGUCUAUUUCAGCAUUAUCUGGAAGAGUCAAGACAUGGAAACAACUUAAGUGUCUGUCGAUUGAAGAAUAAAUAAAGAAAAUAUGGUAUAUAUAUUUUUAAUGAGAUAUUAUUCAGUCAUAAAAAAGAAAAUUCUGC
rnacentral:lncRNA from 1 species